GUGGGGAAUAUUGGACAAUGGGCGCAAGCCUGAUCCAGCCAUGCCGCGUGAGUGAUGAAGGCCUUAGGGUUGUAAAGCUCUUUUGUCCGGGAAGAUAAUGACUGUACCGGAAGAAUAAGCCCCGACUAACUUCGUGCCAGCAGCCGCGGUAAUACGAAGGGGGCUAGCGUUGUUCGGAAUCACUGGGCGUAAAGCGCACGUAGGCGGACCAUUAAGUCAGGGGUGAAAGCCUGGAGCUCAACUCCAGAACUGCCUUUGAUACUGAUGGUCUCGAGUAUGGAAGAGGUUGGUGGAACUGCGAGUGUAGAGGUGAAAUUCGUAGAUAUUCGCAAGAACACCGGUGGCGAAGGCGGCCAACUGGUCCAUUACUGACGCUGAGGUGCGAAAGCGUGGGGAGCAAACAGGAUUAGAAACCCCUGUAGUCC
rnacentral:rRNA from 1 species